CGAGCUGCAACUUAGCUUAUCAAAGCGUAAAGAUCAUGGCACAGUAUGUGAUUGGUCUUGAUCCAGUGAGAAAGACAAUGGAGCUUCAUUUCAUUCGUACCCAAAAGGAGAAAUUAGGAAUUUGCACAUCUAUGAACCCAACUUUUGCCUUUAACCAUAGUCCACAGCAAAAUUGAACGGGAUGUAAGCUUAAAACUUUAGGUCUAUUCAUUAGUUCGGAUGAUCCAGUGGCUUCAACAAUUUCCUCUGGAAUCCAUUACUGGCAGCAACAAGUUUUAAUGGUAACUUUCUUCUGAUACAUAAAACGCAUUCUGCAUAGCUUGUCGAAAGCUGAUUUAAAUGUUUCAAACGCCUAAAUUUACUUCAUUUCCAUUGCUUUUUAUGUGUGUCUGUGCGUGUACUGUUGGUAAUCCAUAACCCUUUCACUGUAGGGCUAGUAAGCUUAGCGUAGCCCGCCCAACCCAAGUACCCAACUAAGAAGAACCGAACCUAACAGGCAUAUCUAUUGGUUACUCAAUUUUAGCCCGGCUUACACCGUGGAAUGGCUCCAACAAGUUGCAGCUAGCAGGAAUCUAAUUCUUCGUCUCCUGCAUUAAGCGCUACUAUAUGUGCAUGUACCUGCAGUAUUGCCAAAAUGCUGGAACAUUUUUAGCAACUUAUAGUUUUUACCCUUUUAUUGCAGGUUGUUACAUGAGUUAUAGAAAUAAACUACAAUAACCCUUGGUAGAUUCUGUUAGGUGGACAUGAAUCUAGGAAAUUUUUUAUUAUGAAUUAAUGCUUUUAUACCUGUGAUGAAUGUUUCCAAUAAAUCAUGCAUGACAGAGCAACUUGUUUGAUUAAUUAGAAUAGUUUUGUUCGUUAUGUGCCAUUAGUUCAAAUCCGCAACUGAAAUUAUUCAUUUCUGGGCAAUCUGUAUAAGAUGAGAUUUUCGUUUGUUAUGCUGUUAGUAGGAAAUGAAACAGUGUAUAACGAUCGUGAACAUAAUAAGGAAUCAGAGAGAAAAACCUCUUUCUUUCUAUUGAAACCUUUAAUAUGUGUUUUUGUUUACUACACUCUUUCAACAUAUAAUACAACAAAUCUCUUGCAAUGCAAUAUUUUGUAGAAUCAUCGCUUGAAUGAGGAAAAUGAAUAUGAAACAUGAAACCAAAAAGAUUUACAUUUUGAACACUCAUCACUCUCUAUCUAACCAAUAAACAAAAGAAAGAAUUCAAUCAAUCAAGUCCUAUAACUAUCCUUCUUUCUGUGUAAAUCAAAAAGAAAUUGUUCAAAACUCUUUUUCCGUUGCUUGCAGCAGGAACUGAAAAUCUGAUCUUUGACGAAGGAGGGGAGGUGGUUCGACAUCAGACAGGUUGAUAAUGUGAAAGGAUCGUGAUAUUUCUUCUAUAGAGAAUGGUAUGCUGUAAUUUGGAAGAUGAGUUAGUUGAAGAAUGAAAGUCAAUUUAUUUUGUAUGUUUAAAGUUAAUUACCUUGAAUCCACAUCAAGCAAGAAUGUAUUAUUUGGAAUGCUGGUUGAGUCUUCCAAUGUUAGUGCUCUCAUCCUGCUAAUGGCCUGAAAUUCCAGAAGUGUCAGCAGUGUCUAUGCUAAUUGUUCAAACUAUACAUAACUAGAUCUGCUGAACAAAGAAACAGUUCUUUCACAAAUAUCCAUCCAAGGCCUACUCAGUGUAGGUUCAGAGUUGCUUUUGUGUGCUUUUUAAAAUCAUUUUGUUUACAGAAUCAAUAAGACUAUUUACUUAGAAGAGGAAAAGAAAUGGUUAAGAAGAAAAUUAAUUUCGACAUCAGUUUCUUUCGUUGUCAUUGUCAAGUUUUUAAGGGUAAAGCCGUAAAGAAGCUAUCUAUAUGAUUUUCUCGCUAAGGGAGCUAUGAUGGAAAUCUUUUGCAACACUGAGAGAAUCCUGUGCUGUCCACGACCUUUGGGUGUUUCUUUUACACUAAAGUUGUUCUGGAACAUAAAGGAGGGUAAGCUGUUUCACUCUUUGACAUGAGAAUAACAUGAGUGCUUUAGUAAAAAGUUUUGGUGUAUGUAUGAAACUGCAUAGCACACUUGGCUUCUCUGUUGAAGCAGGUAGGACUUCUUCCCACCAGAGCUUAGACACAAAUUAAGAAGAUUGGUGGGCUGUUUUUAUUUGGUGUUUGUUUUUUCUAUCUUUUUCUAUUUGGGAACAUCUUGUCUUUUAGCUCUUUACUGAUAGAUUGUUUUCAUAUAAUAAGAGAAGAAGCCCAAUGCACGCAAUAAUUCUUUGUUUUUACUUUUACAUGAUAAUAUAUGCUUGUGUUGCAUGACCAGCUAUUUGCGGACCAUCGGCGUCAAACUGGGAGAACCUUGAAUAAAUUUACCAACUCUAAUGGAAGGAUAGAGUACCUCUAAUAACACACUGAACAAGAGUGCUUACCUCUGGAGAUAAACCAUGAGUUCCGUAUUUGUCGUCCCAGAACAUAGUUCCAAUCCGAUAUAUUUGUGCAAUGCUCAACAUCUUAGAGAAAAGAGGGGAAAAAAGCAACAGGAUAUAAAUUUCAGUUCUCGGUUCUGAGUUCUAAUCAUAGCUAGAAUUCAUUUAUUACAAAAAUGAUAUCUAUAAUCCUCUGUGACUAACUGCUAACAUCAUUGUCAUUUGGCCUCUUAGUUUGAAAUGAAAAGAGAGUUCUUUUUCUGUUUUGAAAAGUCAAACGAAAAGAAUAGUUUUGAGGGACGUUGGGGGAAUUAGAUUGUUUUUAGCACAGAGCUUAAUUACCGGGCAGAGGUCACUCGUGAUCUCAUCCAAUGCCUUUUGAGAUUUUUGAUGCAACACCUGUGAGGUUGGGGCAUGAUAAUAUAAGUACUCAGCUAUGAGGUAAUCUGCUUACAGAAUGAUGAUGUGGACAAUAGCAUACCAGAAAUCCUACAGCUUGCCUUAUGUGUUGAAGUUCAUCCCAUGAAGAUCCAACAUACUGUUUCAUGAGAACGAAUUAAAACAUUAUUUCUUGUUUUCGAACACCAGAUUACCACUGUGAACAACUUUUUUACCUGCUCUGUUGCUUUGGAACACCAACUUUCCAGUUCUUGCAGACCUGCCUUCAGAUAUUCCCCAUUGCUAAAUGAGCAGCACUCACGGCGAAGCAACAAGCUGAAAAGUUUUCAUAUUUCUGACAUUAGGACUGAGGACAUUUAGGUUACUUCUGAAGUGAAACAAAGUUGUUAAAAUACCUGUUGAAAAGCUGGACAUUUAUGUAUGAGAACACCUGACUGAAUAUUUUCCUUGUAAUUGUGGAAGGGACCUGAAAACACAGAUCCCACUUAUGAAAACUGGAGAUAUCUCCAGACAUAAAAUUAAGGAAAGCUGAUAACAAGAUGUUACUUCACUUACAUUAUUUUCUGAGAGUAUUGUCAAUGUACUGUCUAGGCUAUUCACAAUGUUUUGCCAGUGUAUGAUGGAUGCCUGUUGUUUCGCGAUGAUGUUGGAGUGUAUACUUCUAGAUGACCCUUUUAAAGGUCUUACCCUUGCAGAUCUUGGUGCCUGUCAAUUUAUUUUAUAAGUUAGCUUGAGCUGCUGCAAAAGUAUAGACAAGGGAUUACAGCACGAAAAGUGGUGCUUACAUGUAUGCACUGGUUAAGGAAUGGACUUAUUUCUUUCUUUAAGUUGUCACGGAUCAUUCCAUAAAUUUUCUCAACGCAUGCAGUUAGGUGUUGCUUAAACAAUAAGGCUGGGUAUUUAGCUUCAAUCCUUGUACGGACAUUUGGGCUUCCCUCAAUUCCGCUGUAUCCACUGGAAAUUGCCAUGCUUAAUGAAGUUGAGCGAAAACCCUGCUGUUGCCCUUGAUAUGUCAAUGUAAACAUGUUCAUACAUGAUUGAAAGCUUAUAUUAUGAAUGUUUACCUGUGCCAUUCUGCCAAACAAUGUGGUAGGUGAGCUGCGAUUACGAUAUGGGGACCUAGUAGGCACAUUACCAGCUUUAAUUGUGGUUUGCAAAAGGAACAAUAGAGUUGAAGAUGUUGACAGCCAGUAGGCUAGAUCACCAGUGUUAUCCUGAUCCUACAAUGAAAUGUCAAUAAAUUAUUGUCAAAUGGUUGUCUAAGUAGCUUUAGGUUCAAUCAUUCAUUAGGACCAUUCCUAGUCAACAAUGGAUCAUAGUGCAAUUUCACCUCUAUAGAUGAUCGGAUGGUAUGAAUAAUCCUAUCAAAUAUAUUUGUUUUUUCUGCUUCAAAGGAUCUCCACUGCAGAAGUGCUUUGUAUAGGGUGCAUGCAGCUACUGGUCUUCCCUUGUCAAAUUGCUUGUCUUCCGCGAGGCAUUUUAUCAGUAUAUCAUGGUUUUCCUGAUUAGUGAAGAAUGACAACAGAAGUAAGCAGCAAUGACUACGAAACCAUCAGAACAUUAUCUAUCAGAUCCACUUGUAAAGUUCAAGUUUCUACUACUUGCCUGCUGCCUAUCUGUUAAGGAUCUUUGCUUAGUUAAAGAGAUGGGAGGGGAAGAAUCCUGCAGAAAGAAUUUAGAUAUCAUUUAGCAAUUUGCUAAUUGUUGUGGUCCUUAGUGCAUAACAAUUAUUAGUGAGAAGCUUAUAUACCUUGGAUAUUUGUUGUUCCAUUUUUAUUUCUUCAUGCACUUCCACCGUUUGAUGUCCAUUAUCAGCUGGAUAUGUGUUAUCAACGGUCUGCAAUAAUUCAGUCAGGAGUGAGUAACUGAGUGGCAUAUUAGUUCUACAAAAACGAUGCUUACAAUGAAAAAGAUGAAGGAAGUGUUAGCUUACCUCAAGCCCUUUAGGUUCCCGAUCAGAACUUACUAUUUGCUCCACAGCUACCCUUUGAGUGCGGAGAAGCUCAUUUUCUGACUCCAAGUUUUUGAUCUUGUUCUUGAGUCUGAUUAAGAUGAAAAACCAAUUCCAUUUGAUUUUCACAUAAUAAAAUGUUAUUAUAUCUGCGAGCUUAACACAAACCGAAAGCUUUCAUAGGCUAUUGUUCCAUUCUAGUGGAAAAUAAGUACAGAUAGGUAUUCUCGAAGCAAUUAUUUCUUCUAAAACUCACAGAAACUACAUAAGUUGGUCGGCUCUGGAUUUAUGUCCAUGUAUUUAUGCUUAAGUUAAAGUUUUGAUCAUGUAAUUUGUACCUGUUUCAUUGAGCUAUUAAUGUAAAUGUGAGCUUAUAAAACUGUCUUUAAACUAUAAGGACAGAAACUAUCUUCUCUAGCUUUACUUGAUGCCAGUUGGCGACUUUUUAGCUUGCUUAGUCUACUCCUGGAUAUGCAUCCUUACAUGUCCAUUUCCUCAGAGAGGGCUUCAUUUGUUGAUGCUACUAAAGCCUGCUGGCGGAGAACCUGAUUCUCAGAUUCAAGGUUGGAUAAGUUCAGUUGUAAUCUGAAAAUAAACAUUAAGAAGACAAAGUAAGACAAUAAGUUUCAUACUGAUGCUACUUGUACUGAAUUUCAAGCUUCAGCCACUUUAAUAUUCUACACAAAGAAAAUAGAGGAUAUACCUAUCAAUGGACUCUUGGAGCUCUGAAACUCUUAGCUGGGUUUCUUCUGCCUCUCUACGUCUGGCCUGACAUUCUUUUUCAACUUCAUUGUAGCUCUGUUCGAAGUCCUCUACUCUCUUCUUGAGCUCUCUGAUUUCUUCCUGAAUAUAUGACAGGUAAAUUGCAUCACAUGUGAUGAUGUUAGGAACAUGCUAAUUUAUGAUGUGUCAUGUAUUCUGCUGCAGACAUUGCUGUGAGUAUAUUUCCUGUCUUAAUAAUGAAACUUUGGUGUUACUUUUUUAUGUCUAGAUAAUCUUCAUACCUCAAACAAAUUUAUUUAUCCCUUCUCUUUUUAUUGACUACAUUGAUUUCAGGAUUUUCCUUUUAUGUUCAAUUAUCUGAAAUAUCAUAAUGAAACUUUUCUUUGUAACAAACCCCCUUUCUAUGGGGAGGUGGUUAUUCACUAAGUUUCUACAUGUUUUAUUAUCACACUUGAAUUCUUAUUUCGUAAACAAACUCCAAAGAUUUUUGAAACACUGAAGGCCCAAUGCCGUAUCAAUUACUGUAAAUGCACAGAAUUUUGUUUCCUGAUUUUACCUCGAGUUUGUUGUUUUCCUCUGUCAGCUUCUCCACUUUGGUGUUGUCAAUCACUGGUACUUCCUUGAUAACUGGAGGAGCUUGUUCAAUGGCUAUCUUUGCUGCUUCUUUCUCAUGAAUGAUUGCAUCAUGGGCUUCGUCUAGUUGUGUUUGCAUUUCUUGUAAGGCUUUUUGCAAUUUUGAAAUUUCUUGCCCCUUUGCUUCUUCGAGAUCAAUCUGGUGAAACACAAUGUUUUCAUUCUUACCAUUAUUAUGACGUAAAAGAAUUCACUGUUUACCGAUAGCAUAAGAAAAAUCUAAUUGCCAUAAAUUUACAUUUCUUCACAAGUGAAAAUUCUCACAUUCCUAAGUGUUAGUGCAAGCCAAAAUGUUCAUUUUAGGGAUUCAUGUACGAUAUUCUGGAUGACUGAAACAAUAAUGAUGUUUCCUUGAGCCUUCAUUAUGUUGCUCUAAAGAACUCCACUUGGAGUACUUUAGGCUGUUAUGCUGUUUCCUUUUAGAGCAAAGCAAAUUGAAUGUACAUACCCUCAAGUGUUUUUCAAAGUCUAAUCUCCAUGUUAACUCCUCAACACGCUUUUCCAGUUUGUCCUUCGCUUCUUUAAGUGCUCCUGUAUCUCUAGCAGCCUGCACGUGGACAAGGUUUUCAAUGCCAGUUAACAAAUAGCAGAGCUACUGACACUUAAAUGUAUUUGAAUAAGGUAAUGUCAAUCCUUUCACUAAACAAGAAACACUCACCAUCCUCAAUUUCCGAAGCUCCUUCCUCGCUAACCUACCUCUCCAGAGACACUGAAGUGAAAGACUUGCUUUCUUCUUCUGUUUAUAAGUUGAAAAGGCAUGGAAUCCUCUCCACUGAGUCUGCAAAAAAGACAAAAGUAAGAAAAUAAGGUGAUAUUAUCUGUUCAUAAUCAGUCUUACUGUCGAAUCCAAGGUUAUAAGGUUGGUCUUAACUUCUGAUUUCGUCAUAUUAUGCACACUUUUUUUUUUUUGCAGAAGGUUAAUUUCAGGAAGCAAAUACUGACAGCACAAAAUAGACUUAGACCCUCUUUAAAUGUGGUUUUUAUUAUUCUGUUUACCUUGAACUUGAAAUAAAGUUUUGUCAGCUGACUGAAUUUAGGAUCCAAAUUCACUUUUGUGGUGCAAUCUAAUUACCUGAACUAUUUUAGCUGCUUUAUUUCUCCUCCUCUGCCUAUAUUCAUUUCGUGCUGCCAUUGCUCUCAUCCCUGUUUGAAUGACUAAAGCUGCUGCCUGUAAUUCCGUGUAAGAUUUUCUUGCUGAAUGAGAACGCACGUGUUUCUGUAUGCGGAUUGAAGCAGCUUCCCUUUUCAUUUGUUCAUACAGCACUCUGGCAAGUUUUGCUGAGUAGAUAGAACAGAGAAAUUUUCUCAAAGUCCCAACCAGAACACCAUAUAAAAAAGGGAAAACUAAUGUAGCAUUGUGUAGAUUAACAUGUUUGUAAGAUCAAUGUUAAGAAAAGUAGUUGGAAACCUACUUUAGGAAAAAUUCAGAAUGGCCAAAAACUAGAAUAUGUCAAAUCAGCAUGUAUGCAAAAAGCUAAACAUUGCCAAUCUUGAUGUUCACAUAUUAUGCUGAAUCAAUUAAUUUGAUCCAUAAAUCGGCAGUCAUUGUUGUAUCAAUGGGGUACAAGUUACCUCUCCAAAGUUUCUGGAAAUGAAUUGUAGCUCUCCUUAGGGCUAUGAACUCCUUCCGCGUAAGAUGUGUUCGAAUUUGCCUCUGAAUGCGCUUUGCAGCAUGAGCUAGAACUUCAGUUCUUCUGGCAUCUAAUUCAGCCAUCUGCCCGGCUCUGAGAAAAACUUUGGUUUUCCCAAUCUGAAUAAAAUACAAAGAAGACUCUUUGUCAUGAACAAAAUCCAUGGAAAGAUGCAAUUUUAUGUCCAGUUGCGCAGCAAUAGUCUAGUUCUCUCUCUCUCUCUCUCUCUCUCUCUCUCUCUCUCUCUCUCUCUCUCUCUCUCUGGAUAAGAAGUAUGGCAGUAGUCUAGAUUUAGUACCUGAUAACCCUUUAAGCCCAUCCUAUCACAAAUUGCAAUGCAUGCUGACUUCUCAUCACAUCUGCUUCAACAAAAAGGGAUUAGCUUGUGAUUUAUCAGUAUGUUGAUGCUAUUCAUGGCCAUACAAUAAAGUCUUAUGAGUCUAAAGAAGUAUGUUUGAUGCAGAUAUGGUAUUGGCUACUACUAGUGUAUAAUAUAUUUCCCAUGAAACGUUAGCUCAUUUUGCAUUUUGCUCAUCACUGCUCCCUGCCUCAACUUUCAGUAUUGCUUUCUUCCUGAAAAGGAUUUAAGAUUAUGUUGCAACAUAUUGUGAUAUAUACCCGUCAAGAACAUCUGGAGCUAACAUUCCAAAGCGGUCAAGGAACUCAUCGAAUGUUCUUUUUGUUGGAUAUCCUGCACAACUUAUCCUGAUCGCUUCUAAAACACCCUGCAAAAGUUUCACAAAAGGUUUGUGAGAAAGAGAGGGAGGGAGAGAACUAUGAAGAAUCACAUAUUUUCUGAUUAAGAGUAGAAAAUGAAAGCACCAAAAAGGAUAUGGAAGAGUUUAACUUACCCCACAUCUUAAUUGGUUUAAUACAUUCAUGUUCUCAAAUAUUCCUGGCUUUAGAACUGUAUUGGGCUUUACACAUCUGAUGUAGUGUGGCUCUGUAGUGCUCAAGGUCUCCAUUAAAGAUUGCAAUUGUUGCUGUACAUUGAAGUUUGGUUUGAAAAUAAAUCAGGUUCAUAGGAUUUUCUUAAAUAAAUAUACUUAUUUCUGUCCUGUUGAUAGGCUUACCUUAAACCGCGUGCCAAUGGAAGAGAACUUGGACUGCUUGGAUGAUUCUUCAGGCAAUGGAGGGAAGAGGUUUGCAACGAAAGAGCACUUAGAGUCCAUCAGAAGAGCUUGAAAUUCUGCUAUCACAUAGUCCUUGUUUUUGUCAAGGAAGUGAUCUGCUUGGUAAGUAACCUGUUUGAUCCAAGAAUUAAGAUGACCAAGAUUUCUUUGACUGACAAUUGAAUGACGAAGUAUCAAGUUUUACAUACAUCACCAGCGUAAUGAUUGAUUGUAAAUGCAGUACGAGCAAGUUUUGGCUUGCUAAACCGUUUAUGGGCUUUGUAUGUCUGGUACAUCUUUUGGGCAAAUGUCUCAUGAGUUGAUUUUGGGAACAUACUGUGCAAGAAAUAAAUUGAGUUAUAUCUUCUCCUUUAGUCAUUAUUCAUAAUUCAGGAAAAGACGUUAUACACUGUGUUUUGAGAAUUUAAUUACUGUGUUUAGCAAAUUAUACUUCCACAGGUAGUUAUGCCGUUGAAAAGAGGAAGUUUGCUUACCAAGCUUCAUCAAGAAGAGCAAUAAUGCCUCCAGGUUUCUGCACAUAUGAUGCAAAAUCAUCGAAAGUUUUGCUUGUUGAAUUAAAAUAAAGUGACAAAAAUGUAUGUUGUCAGAAUGAGGGUACCUUCUCAAUAAGAUCUAAAACAUCUUGGUUAUCUACAAACUCCACAUAACUCCAGUUGAUUUCUUCUGUCGUGUAAUCAUCUUGUUCCAUCUUGAAUACGUGCUGUAAAAACAGUGUUUCUAUUUAAUAUUCCACUUUUCUGAGUGGGACUGAAAAAUUAAGGCACUGAAGAGUGAAUAAAGGUUCUCAUGCUUUACCUGGUUAAAGUGCUGCUGCAACUUCUCAUUUGUUAGGUUGAUGCAGAAUUGCUCAAAACUGAGGUAAAGCAUGU
rnacentral:lncRNA from 1 species